rnacentral:SRP_RNA from 1 species
GGGGGCCAACGGCUGGGGAGGCACCAGUUCCCUGUAACCGCAAAUCUGGUAAUGGCGGAGCCGCAGUCCCAGGGCGGUAUGGACCUGUAAACCAGUCCAUUUACUUAACUAUGAAACUCUGCCCCCAUGGAUUCAGUUAUCUGUGAAUCCCCCAGGGUGGGAACACCGCAAGGGUAAGCAGGUAGCUGGGUGCUAUGGGGAAAACAGAGUAGAGGAGGGUAAAUGGGUUCAACUGGUUUAUAGGUUUAUAUCCACCUGGGACAUGCCCCC